AAUGAAUUUGUUGUAGUAGCAUUCGUAACAUCCUGCCGUUCAAGUAUUUGGACCUGGAGAUUUCCAUUUCCAGCGACUUCAAGGGCCACCUCCUAAUGGUGUCGGGCGUCAAAGAAGGGCCCUCGCCUACAACAAGACGACCGAAAUUCUUUUUUCCAAGGUCUGGUUCUCCCACCUCUAAGCCCUAAACCAUCACCUAAUCACCCUUACCCGUCUUGUGGCUUAACAACAACAACAACAACA